rnacentral:rRNA from 1 species
UACGUAGGGGGCAAGCGUUGUCCGGAUUUAUUGGGCGUAAAGAGCGUGUAGGCGGCCAUACAGGUCCGUUGUGAAAACUGGAGGCUUAACCUCCAGACGUCGAUGGAAACCGUAUGGCUAGAGUCCGGAAGAGGAGAGUGGAAUUCCUGGUGUAGCGGUAGAAAUGCGCAGAUAUCAGGAAGAACACCCGUGGCGGAAGGCGGCUCUCUGGGACGGUACUGACGCUGAGACGCGAAAGCGUGGGGGAGCGAACAGG